GUUCCGUCCCCUCCUCGCCCCGGCCUGUAACUGCUGCGGGGGCCGCUUUCUGGGCCCGCCCCUCCAGGCCAGGAGCCUUUUUCAAAAUGUGGCGGUGGCAGGGAAGGUUGUCUGCUCCAGAGGCUUCCCUAGAGUGAAGAGCUCUACUAUGUAUGCUUUAUGCGGCAGAAGGAGUGCUUUGGAGGAGUUUUUAAAUUUGUUUUUUUUUUAAAUCUUAUCGGUUUUAAUUGUAGCAAUGAUUCAAGAAACGUUAGUAGGUGCCCAUAACUUCGGUGGUGGAGAUCCAAAAGUGAACAAGACAGUGUUCUGGCUGCUAAAUUCUUCUUAACUGGUUAUGCCUGGAGACCUUCACUUGGUUCUGUGCCAGCACUGCCCAUGAACUUCAUAGACUGUGAUCUUUGCUAAGGCCUAAAUGAAUGAAGUGCAGGUGCAGGACCGGAAGCAGAAGACAGAAAGUGGAGACCAGAUGUUUGAAGCUGGGUAAAGGCAGGGAUGGAGCAGGAACCGAGGAACAAACCUUGGAACUAGGUAAGUUUCCUGAGGCCUUCCCAGAAGUAGAAGCCUGCACAGUCCACAGAACUGCUCUGAGAUGUAUAAAGGCACAGUGAAUUCCUGAAUCAUCCUUUGAUCUUCCACAAGACUCAGUAUCACUGAUUAACUACAAUUUGAAUAUAGUUCAUCACUGAAGGAAUGAGUGAGUGAAUGAGAAAGUGAGCAAAUGAGGCCGUGGAGGUCACUUAAACCAGGGAUCAGGUUCAUAGAGGUCACCCAACACAAGAUGGAAUAGUCAAGUAAACCAAGUUUACGGAGUUAGACAAAACUCCAUAAGGCAAGGUCAACAAAGGCAGCUCUGACGGACUGUUCAAUCCUGACUUUAGGCUGAUGCUGGUCUCUACUCUGUCUUCCUCCUGAGAGUAGGGGGCCUGGGGGCCCUUAAAUAAUUGCUGGUGUUAAAAGGGAGUUCAAUAUUUUCAAGCAUACCUAGCUUCUGUUUGAAGAGAGACAGGGUAGAAGAAUUACCUGGAAGGGAUAGGGUACACACUGCCACCUCCAUUGCUAUAACGUUUUACUCUUGUCAACAGACUUUCACAUAUAUGCUCUUGAGUCAAGCACAGGAAGAAAUAAAUUUUGCUGCUGAAUUUGAAGCAAUUGGCCAUGGAAGCCAGUCUUCAGGGGCAUUAAAACAAAUGCCUAACAAAAGUUUAUUAUAAGGCACUUGCUCCACCUGAACUCAUUUCAUCGUUAGAAAAAAAUCUAAGAAGUAAAAAUUAAUAUCCUUCCCUUUUCACAAGAUGAUGGAAUCAAGAGCCUUAACAAGUUUUAAUGGCCUGCCAAGGGUCAUUUGUCAACUUCUGAGUCUAAUGUCUAUGUUCUACUCAUGACAUGGCAGUUGUGGUAUAGAGGGAUCUGAUACAUCAUGAAAAUAUAAACCCACAGAUUUUGAUUCUAAGAAAGUGACCCAAGUUGUGCUCAUUAUGGUUUUGCUUAAAAUUAAAGUUUAGAUUGAAAUGAUACCAGUUACGUGUUCUUAAAAACCUGCCAUGAUUUACUUUAGAUGAUGAUUGAGGACCUACUGUGUGCAAGCCACUGGGAUGAACAUCUUAUAUAUAGUUUUUUAUUUCAUCCCCAUAGUUAUCCUAGAGACAGGCAUGAUUCCCUUCUUCUUACAAGUGAAGAAACUAAGGCUCAGAAGCAUUGAGUGACUUGCUCCAAAUCAUAAAAUUAGUGGUGGAGAGAAAAUUUAAAGACAGGUUAUCUGGUUCUGGAAUCUACACUUUUACUAACUGCUCUCAAUGGCCUCUCCUUAGUAUUUGUGCCUUCAUUAAACAAAAUGUUUUGAAAACUUCCAGUGUGCCAAGUACUCUUUUGGGUGCUGAGGAUAUAACUAUACAAAUGUGAGUCAUCUUUUGAAUAUGCUAUUCUUCAACAUUUUUGGACUUAGCUAUUUUAAUAAGUUCUAUACUUGUAGGAAGUUUA
rnacentral:lncRNA from 1 species